rnacentral:lncRNA from 1 species
UCGGCCGCUGGCCCGCAGGCCCCAUAGGCCUCUGGCUUGUGUUACAGGCCACAGGGCGCAUGUAACAACAACAACCACCCCCCACCCUCCCCCGCCUCUGGCCUCUUGGCUGUGCAGCUACCCGGUUCCACACUACAGAGGCACAGGGGGACAUAAAGACCAUUGUCCUGAGUUGCAGAGGUCAAUAGCAGAGACAGGGCUUCCUUCAGGGUCCCUGAUGAAAGCUGAAGCCCACUGGAAAAGUGAAGAUACUCUCUGCAAUAUAGGCACACCAGACCACCGUACUUGUGUGUCUGGCCAUGCUGCUCCACAGCCAAACCCAGAGCAAGGGCUGCUUCUGCUUCUCUGCCUCGUCUUUGUUCAUGAUGACCAAGAUUUGGCAUCCCUUUGCCUAGCUGUGAGGAGAAAUUCAAGGAUGGCCCAAAUUGUUGAAGCCUCCAUCUCAAAUGUCAGACCACCUGGGAUAUGCAGCUGUCAUGCUGAAAGGGGAGCUGCCUGGGACCGGCCCUGGCCUGCUCAUCAAAAAGAUACUGUCACUACCCAGCAAGCAUUGCUAGGUGCACAGGGUGACGGCAAGAGAGAUGCACCUGGCUCUGGAUUUGAGGGAUGAAGAAAAAAUAAAGAACGUAGAUGGAACUAUGUAUAUCAUCAAAACAGACUUGCCUCUGCUGUGUUAUUCUCUCCAUCAACAUAUUUACAUCUUCCCUGUCAAUACUUGUGCAGAGAUCAAUAUAUCCUGAUUAUGAAUAAAUAAAAAUGUGUAAUAUUCCUUGUGCAAAUAAAUUCUGUAUCUUUCAUAUCAUUACCACUUUUUGAUAUAUGUUCUUUUACAUUGGUGCUACAUUUUCUAUUAUUAAACAAAUUUAGUUUGAGUAGUACCUGCCCUGUAAGAGAAAAUUUCUUCAUCAUAAUCAGGCUUGUUAGUUUCUUUCCUCUUCUCUUCUGCUUACUUACUUAUCUUCCUCAAUGUAUGUGCAUGUUUGUGGCUCUGGUCGUUUGGGAAAUAGUAAGAUCCUAUUAUGGAUAGUCAUUUUACUGUGAGAAGUAAAUAACAAUAAUUGAAAUCACCUACUAUUUAGUGUUUCCUUGCAAAUUCCUAUAGUUAAAUAAAUAA